AUGAACGCUGGCGGCGUGCCUAAUCCAUGCCAGUCGAGCGAACAGACGAGGAGCUUGCUCCUCUGACGUUAGCGGCGGACGGGUGAGUAACACGCGGAUAACCUACCUAUAAGACUGGGAUAACUUCGGGAAACCGGAGCUAAUACCGGAUAAUAUAUUGAACCGCAUGGUUCAAUAGUGAAAGACGGUUUUGCUGUCACUUAUAGAUGGAUCCGCGCCGCAUUAGCUAGUUGGUAAGGUAACGGCUUACCAAGGCAACGAUGCGUAGCCGACCUGAGAGGGUGAUCGGCCACACUGGAACUGAGACACGGUCCAGACUCCUACGGGAGGCAGCAGUAGGGAAUCUUCCGCAAUGGGCGAAAGCCUGACGGAGCAACGCCGCGUGAGUGAUGAAGGUCUUCGGAUCGUAAAACUCUGUUAUUAGGGAAGAACAAAUGUGUAAGUAACUAUGCACGUCUUGACGGUACCUAAUCAGAAAGCCACGGCUAACUACGUG
rnacentral:rRNA from 1 species